GGGGCACCGAGGGUGGAAGGUGGGAGGCUAGAGAGAAUGUAGAGAAAGCAAUAAAAGAGCAGCACAUCCAUCCUCAGCAACCCCAUGAUUGUCUGAAUUCAUUAAAAUGGAUAAAAACUUUCAGACCUUCAAGGUAACCCACACAUUUUACCAUGCUGUUUCUGUCGCAUGGAAAACCACUUGUGGUGACCAAGAGACAGAUGUUCCUUACUCUUGCUAUCUCAAGAGGGACAGGCUCAGACCUGAGAGGCCAAGAGAAUUCACUCAACUGGCAGGGAGAGUCUGAAACCCUGAGAUAUCACUAAGCACCAAACAUGUGAUCCUGAGACGUGUGGAAUUGAGACUGGCAUCUGGUCAAUGAAGACUGAAAAGCAGACCCUGGACACAAAGGACAGCUGUAAAUAUCCUCACUUUGUUACUAAAUACUCUCUGUAGCGGUGUGUGUGCUUUUAUGGAAAUUGCUCCUUGAAGUUGACUCCUCAAAAAAAUCUGAGCUCUUGGCUUGAGUUUCUCAUCGGAGUUAUCCUUCUACAUGCUGUUUUCAUCGUUUUGUCAGUGAAACUAAACAUUAAAAUGCACAAACCAGAGUGGUGUGUGUGUUAACGUCAGGGCCGCAGCCAGGAUUUUAGAAAUACUGAG